ensembl:misc_RNA Metazoa_SRP Metazoan signal recognition particle RNA
GCUGGGUGUGGUGGUGCACACCUGUAGUCCCAGCUACUCAGGAGGUUGAGGCGGGAGACUCAUUUGAGCCCAGGAGGUUGAGGCUGCAGUGAGCUAUAAUGGUACCACUGCACUCCAGCGUGGGUGACAGAGUGAGACCCUGUCUCAA